rnacentral:rRNA from 1 species
UACGUAGGGAGCAAGCGUUGUCCGGAAUCAUUGGGCGUAAAGCGCGCGUAGGUGGCUUCGUAAGUCCGCUGUGAAAGUCAAAGGCUCAACCUUUGAAAGCCGGUGGAUACUGUGAAGCUAGAGUCCGGAAGAGGCGAGUGGAAUUCCUGGUGUAGCGGUGGAAUGCGCAGAUAUCAGGAGGAACACCAAUAGCGAAGGCAGCUCGCUGGGACGGUACUGACACUGAGGCGCGAAGCGUGGGGAGCGAACAGG